UACGUAGGUGACAAGCGUUGUCCGGAUUUACUGGGCGUAAAGAGCGCGCAGGCGGUCGUUCAAGUCGAGUGUGAAAGCCCCCGGCUCAACUGGGGAGGGUCAUUCGAUACUGAUCGACUCGAAGGCAGGAGAGGGUAGUGGAAUUCCCGGUGUAGUGGUGAAAUGCGUAGAUAUCAGGAGGAACACCAGUGGCGAAAGCGGCUUCCUGGUCCAGCACCGACGUUCAGGCACGAAAGCGUGGGGAGCAAACAGG
rnacentral:rRNA from 1 species